rnacentral:sRNA from 1 species
UGCCGGGAAUGUAGCGGAUGUCGGUUG